GCCUUGUGUGAAAGGAGAGGGCUGGCGCUACUACCCCUUGCCAAGGAUGGAAGUGGCGCUAAUGGCCUUACAACACACAAAUGGUUAAGGCAUUGGCAUCUGCUUAGGUAUCGCCUUCUUCU